rnacentral:lncRNA from 10 species
CCCACUCACUCACUCCCCCACCCACCCACUCACUCCCUUUCCCCCCUGCCACAGCUAACGCAGUCGCCCACUCACCCAUUCACUUUUGAGACAUGCACUGGCCCCUGCUGCAUGUCUGACCCUGCAUUGGUCCCUAGGGCUCUUCUGUGGGCCUCCCUCCCUGGAUUCCCUAGCUUAGCUGACGGGGAGGGCACUGCUAUCUCUUACUGAGUGCCUGCUGUAUACCAGAUGAUUUCCUACAUGUUUCUAACCAUUCUAGUGCUACCUGGAUUAAAUGCCACCUCCUCCAGGGAGGCUUCCCUGGGUGGGGGUGAGUGCUGGUCUUUCUCUUGCUGCUGUGAACUCCUGUGCUCUUUUCACUCCUGUAUGUACCCCCUUCAGAGCAAUGGCCUGUUCGUGCCUCCCACCUCCCAGCAGACUGUAAACAGCUCCCUGAAGACAAAGAUUGGGGUCUGGUUCAAAUCUGUACCUACCAUUUCUAGCACAUGGAAGACACUGGCUCCAAAAAUGAGUGCAGCUUCCCGUUAGCCCCAUACAGACUCAGGACUCAGGAUGGGACCUAGAGUGGGAGGUUCCCCUCCCCAGGCCCUGCGUUCUUUAGAAUGGGGACAACUCUAACUGCCUUCCCCCACUUUCCAUCCUGUCCCAGCCAACAGAUCUUGCAUAGAUAUCCAGGUGGUCUCAGAACCUUGUCAGAGAGAGUGGUGAGUUUCUGCAUAUCCUUGUCAUAGUUUGAACAUCUUUUUGGAUGGGAAACUCACCACCACUCACAUAACCCCUUCCUGUCUGCUAAGAAAGCCUUCCUUGCAAGGAGCCAAAGUCUGUCCCUGAUACUGGUAAUCACAUCCAGUCAGCUCAGGAUGGGCCCUGGAUGCUGGCCAACCAGCUCACCCCACCUUUCACAAAUGAAGGCAUUGCAUCCAGAGAGGUUAAGCGACUUGCUCGAAGUCACACAGCAAGUGAAUAGAGGAUUGGAAUCCCUGCUCCUCUCCCCACCAAAGGUCCUGGUUCUGACCUCUGGGCCUCACUGACCCGUGGGCUUCCUUUGUCUCAAGGGUUGGAUGACUGAGGCCCUGACGUGGGAACCUCUCCCAUCCUGACCACCCCUCUCCAGACUGUUCGUGUGUCGGUCCCUGGGGCAGAGCUGAUUGGCCUUGAAAGGCUGCAGUUCGGCCCCACCCCCCACCUUGCCUCCUCCUUCCCCAGCUCCUCUCAUUUUUCCUCUGAAAGGAAAGAAUUAAUAGAAAAUGUAAGUGAGCAAUCUCACAGACGAGGCGGGUUUUCAUUAUUUGCGGCUGGGGAAGGCAGGCUGGGGCGAGGAUCCCAGUGAAGCAUGGAUUCUGCCAGGAGCCUCGGGAGAUAAUUGAGCGGUGGAGGCAGAGGCGGCGGGCACUGGGUGGGUGCAGGCUCGGGAGCUGUAUUAUCAUUAGAAUUUACAUGACACAUUAGCCAGAAGUGGCAGCGUUCAUCUUUCUAACCAAAUCUCAUUUACCAAAUGAGCAGCCGACACUUGCUUUAUCAGCUGGCUCCUUCUCCAUGCAGCUUUUUGCGCAGAGCGCUCCGAGUGGCCUGCUGUCCCUCUGGGCGUAAGAAGGAGAGGCUACCGGCAAUUACUGAGUUCCCACUGUGUGCCAGACACUUGUUUACAUGUUAUUGAAUCCUCCUAAUUCUGCCUACCCUCAUAAUUCUCGGUAGGCAGUGUUAUUCUACCCAUUUACGGGCAGGAAAACUGAGGCUUAGAGAGGUGAGGCUAUGCUUUAGUUUUCCACUGUUCUAGCAAUAAUAAUAGUAAACUUAAAAGGGUGGACUCUGAAGCCAGACUUCCUGAUUUCGAAUCUUUGCUCUUCCACCUGCCAGCUGUGUGGUCUUGGGCAAGUUGCUUAACCUCUCUGGAUCACCCUGUCCUCAAUUGCAAAAUGGUAUUAAUAAUCGUACCUAUAUCAGGGCUAUCGUGAGUUCUAAAUACAGCACUGAGAGCAAAGUGAUGAACAUUGAGUGAGUGUAAACCCAGUGAGCACCUUGACAUGCAUUAGUUGUUAUUAUGAUUCUUUUUACUGCUUGCAUUUAUUGCGCCCUCACUAGGUGUGUUGUGCUAGACACUCUCCAUUCAAGACAGCAUUUGAUCUUCCCAACAACACAGCACUUUUUCUGAUGAGAGACAUGAGGAUCAGAGAGGUGAAUUGGCUGGCCCAAGGUCACUCAGCUCCUGAGUGGUAAAACUUUUUCCUGAGCUGGAAUCGGGUCUUUUUGAGACCAAGACAGAUGUCCUUCUGUCUGUACCAACUGCUUUCCUGCCCAGAAAGGGAGUUUUCCUUCAGAGAAGGAUGGCGAAGUCCUUGAUGCUCCUCUCUGAGCUGCUCCCCUCAGCUCUGCCUCUGGCCCCUCCUCUCUGCCCCAAGGGACCUGUGGAGGUGGGGGUGGGGGAUGGUGGCUGCUUCUGCCCCAGGAACGUCUUCUGCUGAGCACAUCACUCUUGCCGGGAAGGUAGGGAGGGUUAACGACAGGGAACCCCUGAUUGAACACCUACUACGCGCUGGGCCCUGGGGUGAGACAGAGAUGAAUGAGAUGCAGCCUCCAAUGACAACACAAAGGGUAUCACCUGACAGAACAUGAUUAAUUGCAGAAGGAACUGCACAGACAACGGCUAGGGCUGGAGUUUGCAGGCAGAGAGCCCCGUUCUGAACAGGGAGCCGGAGCCUCAGCGCGGUGACGAAGCACUUAUUCAUUCAUUCGGCAGAUAUUUGUUGAGUGCCCACUAUGUGCCAGGUUUUUUUCUAGGUGCUUGGAGCUAUCACUAAGAACAAGCCUUUGCUUGUCUUAAAAAAAGUCUUUGCUCACCUGGAGUUUAAAAUCCCAUGGGGAUGACAAUGAAGCUAAUUUCAGAUGGUAAAUGCUCUGAAGACAAUGGAAAAGGCUGGUGAGGCAGAUGGACUGGGGAGGCGUUGUUAGAUGUUGAAGUCAGAGGAGGCUUCCCAGAGGAGGUAGCGUUUGAUCAGUGACUUGCAGCUGGAGGAGCCGGCCAUCUAGGCAGGGGAGACAGCGUGGGGGCGUGGCUGGAGGGUGUCGUGGGAGGGGAGGGGAGAAGGAGAUGAGGUGGGAGUAGGGACCCUACCUCUUCUCUGAGCAGCCUUGCUCCUCCCCAGGUUGGCCUCUUUGCGUGUCUUUGUCUCCGUUGUCAAUGUCCUUUUCUGCUUGAAGGUCUUGUGGAUGCACCCUGAGGGUCACAGCCAGCUCUUCACACCACUGUGCCUUUGCCCAAGCUAUGCCUUCCAUUUGGAAUUCCUCUCUGUUUCAGCUUGGCAAACUUCUGCUCCUCCUUCUAGACACAGCUAAAACGACACCUUCCCAGAGAGGGUUGACACCCCCUCCUCUGAAUCCUUCCAUCCCAAGGCUCCCUCUCUUAGAGCACAGGACACAUUGCAGUAAAACCACUGUUUCCCGGAGGUGGGCCCUAUUCAUCAGUGUCUGUUGAUGAGUCCAAGAAGGAGGUCCCUUUUUUGUCUAUGGCUCUUUAACUUCUGAGGGGACUCCUGGCUGGGGUUGCAGCUGUCACCUUUGGGAUCUCUCUCUGACUCUCUCUGAGGCUGAAGGGGGAAGAAAGAGAAUUUGCUCUCUUUGUUUCCUCCUCUCCCCCAUGGGGAGGUACCCGACAUACUGGCCUAGGCUGGGGGUGGAGCAGCCCCCUGGCUUGGGAGUUUGCACUUCUCUGCACCAGGAAAUGACUUGGAG